rnacentral:rRNA from 1 species
UACGUAGGUGACAAGCGUUGUCCGGAUUUACUGGGCGUAAAGAGCGCGCAGGCGGUCGAUCAAGUCGAGUGUGAAAGCCCCCGGCUCAACUGGGGAGGGUCAUUCGAUACUGAUCGACUCGAAGGCAGGAGAGGGUAGUGGAAUUCCCGGUGUAGUGGUGAAAUGCGUAGAUAUCGGGAGGAACACCAGUGGCGAAGGCGGCCAACUGGACGAAUACUGACGCUGAGACUCGAAAGCGUGGGGAGCAAACAGG